AACCCAUGUUGAUGACAUUUCUACAGGAGCUCCUUGAACCUAUCCCAUGUCUCAUAAAAAGUCUCAAAUUCCGUUUGCACAAAAGAAGAUAUCUCAUUCUUGAGCUU